rnacentral:rRNA from 1 species
GACGUAGGGGGCAAGCGUUGUCCGGAUUCAUUGGGCGUAAAGAGCUCGUAGGCGGCUUGGCAAGUCGGGUGUGAAACCUCCAGGCUCAACCUGGAGACGCCACCCGAUACUGCCAUGGCUAGAGUCCGGUAGGGGACCACGGAAUUCCUGGUGUAGCGGUGAAAUGCGCAGAUAUCAGGAGGAACACCGGUGGCGAAGGCGGUGGUCUGGGCCGGAACUGACGCUGAGGAGCGAAAGCGUGGGGAGCGAACAGG